UACGGGGGGGGCAAGCGUUGUUCGGAAUUACUGGGCGUAAAGGGCGCGUAGGUGGCCAACUAAGUCAGACGUGAAAUCCCUCGGCUUAACCGGGGAACUGCGUCUGAUACUGGAUGGCUUGAGUUUGGGAGAGGGACGCGGAAUUCCAGGUGUAGCGGUGAAAUGCGUAGAUAUCUGGAGGAACACCGGUGGCGAAGGCGGCCUUCUGGACAGUGACUGACGCUGAGACGCGAAAGCGUGGGGAGCAAACAGG
rnacentral:rRNA from 1 species